UGGAGGAAGUGAUUAAAGGGAAAGGCGAGACUUGGCGCGAGAUAGCCUGAGCGGCUAGGUGAGGCAACCUUGGGAGGGGGUGGGCCGGAGGGUGGGGCCGCGCAGCUACUAGAUUUCGGCUUCCAAAUCUUGCCGCCUUGCUAGAGAUCUAGGACUCUGAGAGUUUCCCAGGACCACUUGCAGACUGUUUGAUUCCACCAGUGGUUUUAGAGAAACUACUCUGUGGCAGGCCUGUGCUAGGCACAAUAUGGGGAGACGAUGUUGAGGAGCUCUCUCCAGCCGGAGAGAUGUGGCGUAUAGAAGGGGCCGGGAGGUUGAUGUCUAACGAAAGGAUGGAGAGUUGUGGACCGCGGCUCUAGAAAGCAGAGGCCAAAGAGAGAGAGAGUUGGGCCCUGGGAGAAGGAGUGCCCUUCCAGUCAGCCCCACCACGCCCGGAUUGCUGGAGGGAGCUGUUGGCCCUGGGAGCCAAUAAGGAGUCUUUAAGGAUCACCAGCCAGCUCAGGGCCAGAAGGGGGCUGGGCACUAUGGAGAAGUGGGGCCCAUGCCCUGGAGGACGCUGCUCAGCUGAGACACUGCUAGUUCCAGACCAUUAUUGUUUCUGCAGGCCAGGCUUCAACAGCAUGUGAACCGAGAACUUCCAG